ACCCUUAGCUUGUACGCGGGCGAAGGGAGUAGAACUCUCUGAUGCGCGGUGUGCGAAGAGAGAAGUAGAAAUAUGUAGACCUUGGGAGCUACGACUUGAAGCAAUUCCAGUAACCAAGCUCUCCAGCAGCGCUGCAACUCAUUUCUCAGGCUCAAAAAAAUCAUCUGUCAAACAUCCGCAGAUUGGAAGAUCCUUCCAGGACGACGCGUACCUGCCUUCCACCGCCUACCACUGGCAGCUAAACCCGACGCGUACGCACCUCCCAUCGGCCAGACCUGCGACAAAACCCGCGUGCAAGCCAGUGAAGGCCGGGGACCGCAGCAACCAGCGAGCUAUGGGAACCCGCCCUCACAGGGGCAAGCUGACCGACGGCGGUGAUAACAACCCUGUGCUGCUGCACGUCGACGGCGGUAGCCUACCAGAGUCGUCGUCCUAAGGCGCAGCUGGCGUGCUCCUCUGCGCCUACGGCUCGGCCGAGACCCCCACCGCCUCCUCUGACGCCGGCUUCUCCCCACGGCCAGCGUUGCCCCCCCCCCCCCCCCUCUCUCUCUUCCUCUCUCUCUCUAUCUAUCUCUCUCUCUCAUUUAGUCGGAAUCUACGGAGAAGCGCGGCAAGCUGACCGACGGCGGCAAUAAACGGAGGCAGGGGUCGACUGGAUGGCUGAGAAGGGCCUAGACGGCGUCCCGUGGUGGCCCAUAGCGGUCAUCAGCGGCGAGAGUGCAGCUACGCCGCUUUCUUUUUCCAUUCUCAAGCACUCCUCCUAUUCAUCCAUCAGGUUCACUUCUCUCAGUUUGUACACCUCCUUUAUGAAUGUUUCUUGCUUUCUCCGUUCAAACUCCUGCUUCAAUUCGUCCAUCAGAUUCACUUGUUUCAGUUCAUACACUUGCUUUCUCCAUAAUAUAGAGGAAAAUGGGUCAAGGCUAGCAUUGUCUCCAUAAUCCAUAACACUGAAUGAAUCUCUGGUGCUUGCAGCGACCAUUCACUUGAUGUAGCCUCUGAGAAGUCUGUGCUCUAACUGACUCAGAAGUAAAAGGCCAUGCUAAUAAAUACUUUCUCCGUUCAAACACCUGCUUCGAUUCGUCUGUUAGAUUCACUUGUUUUAGUUCAUACACUUGCUUUCUCCAUAAUAUAGAGGAAAAUGGGUCAAGGCUACCACUGUCUCCAUAAUCCACAACACUGAAUGAAUCUCUGGUGCUUGCAGCGACCAUUCACUUGAUAUAGCCUCUGAGAAGUCUGUGCUCUAACUGACUCAGAAGGAAAAGGCAUGCUAAUAAAAUGUGAUAUCAAUGGUCAUCACAAAGUACUCUGGCGCAAACAGAAUGAAAUGCAUAAAUGAAUGAUUAUGUAUUUAUGUGGACCAAAGAUUAAGUAAAGACAAAUUUUAUUCGGGGGGUAUAAUAUAUAUAAUCAGUGGGGCAUCUCUCAUGCUAUGUAUUUCUUGAGGCUAGGAAGGGUGUUGGAAAGGCAUUCAUUACUGCUUUCCGCUGCAAGUGAUCAAGAAACCAAAGGUUGCUACAAAAGUUCUUCAAUCUUCGCAAAUGACACCGACGAGAACUCGUGAUCUUUGGUGAUCACCAUUGAAGGAGAUUUUCUGUAACUUGUAUCUAACCUGAACUAUAUUGGUCACAGUUCUGACAUUUGGAGCUCAUGAAGUUAUUUUGUUGUAAUAUAACCGAAGUUAAGGAACCUUUAGCUAUAAUAUAUACAAUAUUUUACA